rnacentral:rRNA from 1 species
AUGGACCACCGACAAGGCAGGGAUGACCAUGAAGGGGUGCAAGUUGUUGGAUUCGAAGUCCCAUCAUCACCAGACUCAAGCUACAGCAACCCUAUCCCUGGAAACGAAGACGAAGCUCGAGAGCCCCCAUUGGUUCCUCCUCACCUGCAGCAUACACUGCUGAGCUUCCCGCCGAGCCAUGACGAUGGGAGCAGCCUCCCUCUGCCCCAACCCGUGGUGCUCAACCACCUCUACAUAGAGAAGGAGAACUCGAGAUCCGUGGUUGCCCUGGGGAUCACCCACCGUUUCAAGGCCAAGUAUGUGACCGUCGUGCUCUACAAGCCGGUACAGAGGCGGUAG